rnacentral:pre_miRNA from 1 species
UGAUAGCCAAGGAUGACUUGCCUGUGUCCUUUGUGCCGAAGGAUCAGAAAUGUGAGCCUUUGAGAUAGAUGGUUCAUAGGCAGUCUCCUUGGCUAGC